AGCUCUGGCUCCGUGGCUUAGCUG
rnacentral:piRNA from 1 species